rnacentral:misc_RNA from 1 species
UUAAAUUUGAGACAUUUAAAAUUAAAGUAUUCGACCAUAAAAUUAGUAGCGCAGUACUAAAGUUGUGCAACACUGUCUUUUAGUAUGUUUUGGGAGUGUCUUUCUAUUCAUUCACUCUCCUCAUUCAGCUAUGUGAAUGUAUUGGUUAAAGGGGCAACGAUGGUUUCGCCCGCGCGAUUGUUUUGGUACAUGCACAAAGAGCAAAAUAAAAACAAUUUGUCUUCUGACGUCGAUGGUUACGGCGGCAAUAACGAUUGAAAAAUUUGACGUUUCCUGUGUAGUUAAUGUGGCUCUUAUUUGCUAGUUUUGUGCAGUAUUUACACAUUUAUUUGGAAAAAAGACUUUAAAUUAAAUUAUCAAUAUAUUUGUUAAAACAAAAACGACAAAAUCUAUGUGUAAGGUGAAUAUUAGUUUUAAAUACAUGUGAAAAUUCGAUGGCUAGAAUGAACAGUGAAACGUGUGAUGUGAGAUGAUACAAAACAGGCCAGACGACGCAGCUGCAUAAAGUGGUACAUAAAAACAAGAAGGGCGACGUCGACGCUUACAAAUAGCUAUAUCAAAAUGAGAAAAUGGCAAAACGAAAAUAUAAACAGUAGAAAUAAGAAAGAUGAUGAUGAUGAUCGUAUAAAUGAUAAUGACCAUAAUGGGGCUGUGUUUGUCGUUGCGUUGUUACGGAUGAUGAAUGCCAAUCAGUUAUGGAGCAGGAAAUGUAAACGUGCUAUAAAGUGUGUGUAUGUAUACACGCAAGUUCCAAGACCAAAAUGUGAAGUAGUUUUAACGGUUUCUUUGGACGGGCAAUCACUGAUGCGGUUUUUACUUUGUUCAAAGCGUUUUAUUUAUGUUUCUUCUUCUAUCUUACUUCGGUGUCAAUGUACUUAAGAAUGUUCGGUAUAUUUACAGAAAUUAUUAACGUGAAAAUAAUAAAUUGCAAAAAUCACAGUACCAAGAUAAAGUGUUUACAUACAUUGAGAACAUUUACACUACAUACACGUAUAAGCAUAAAAGAGAACAGGCCAAUCGCGACUACUCACGAAAGAGCGGGGAAGUAUAUAAGAAACUCUGUUAUUUUGGACAUGUCAUGUCAGCAAGUAUCACGACUCACUACAACAACAGCAAAAGAAGAUUUAUCUGAAGAUCAGGAUCCGUAUGUGUUCACAGAAACAGUGCCAACCACGCCACCCAUUUUAUUUAACGCUCAGAAAUCGCGAAGCCGAGUUUUUGUAGACACGCAAGCAAUAACAACAACACCACCAAUACCAAUACAAACAUUAUCACCAACACCAGCUGCUGUAGCAACAGCAACUACAAUAGCGCCAACCAUAGCAGCACCAACGCCUGCGACAUUAACGCUCGUCACAGCUGCCGCCAAUAAGCGACAAACCACGCCAACAGUUACAACCAACAACCACGCAAAAUUAAAAUUCAAUCAGAAACUGCCAUUGGGACCGUUGAAUGGCAAUAAUACAAAAACGCAGGCGACAACGACGUUGGCUGCUGCAACGGGCCAUAAUGGGUCCACAGCAGCGGCAACGUCAAAAGUCGUUUCGCCUACAACUGUGAAAAUGACAAAUUCGCAAUCUCAAUCUCACAAGCAGCAGCAGCAGCAGCAAAGGAAAGCUCUAAAUGUAUGUAUAGUGCGACCUCAGCAGCAGCAGCAGCAGCAACAACAACAUCAUCUUACUCCGACUUUGCGACAGCAACAGCACUAUAAAGGGCAACAGCAGCAGCAGCGAAAGCAAUCAGCUUCACCGCCGCCGCUGCUACAACACACGCCAUCAUUAUGGCAGACACCGUUGCUGUUGGACACAACCUCUGCAGUGGUUAGCCCACCGACAUCACCCGCUUCAAUGUCCUCACCAACAGUUGAAACUAGCAUAACACCCACUUCAGUAACGUUGUCCACAGCAGCAGCUACGGCUAUGGUAAGCCCGUUGAUUACUGUAUCGGCUACACCAUUACCACCAUCCAAAUUCCAUCACAACACAUUGGCACAGCAUUUACAGAAAGUCGAAUGCAUUAAAAAGCCAAAGAAAUCAAUUGUUGGCGUCGAUGGCAUAAAUAGCAAACAAGUGGUGCAGUUUGCACCACACCAAUAUAAUCAGGAGCAAGAUGUUUUGCUUAAACAACAUCAGCAACAGCCACAGUUGAUGUUGCAGCAACAACACUUAAAUGAAGUAGGCGCCAAAACUGUAGUAGUGCAACCUACAUCAACCCUCACGAAUACACAUUUGUCCCAACAGUCCCAAACACAAAUGCAGAUGCAAAAGCCAUACGUGAUGGCCACAUCUUCAGCACCGCCACCGUUGCAGGCAAUUCAGGCGGUUACACCACCACAACAUUCCGAUUCCGAUUUGAAUGAGAUUCCAGUAAAUGUUAUAUUUCGUAAGCCUCAAGCCUCGGGUGAAAGACUUCAUACGCAACUCAGUGGCAAUGUAAAUGUUAGUGCAGCGGGUACUAACAGCGACAAAGUCAAUGCAAAGGUAAACAGUAAUAGAAGCUCAGCACAGGAGGCAGCCAAAAAAAUUUCAACAAAUAUAAAACCGAAAAAUAUGCGCAUUAUACCAUCCAUUGCUCAGCCGAAGAGAAAGUCGAUUCCAAUCCUGGCUGCAGAAGCCACAACAUUAACAACAACAAGUUCACAGCCACCUCCAAGUGUGCUACGCGAUAUUGUUUUCACGCAUACUGGCACUGUGAAGUUUGCAACCAACAAAGAAGAUACUUCGCCGCCACCUGCCCACAUAUACAACGCACCUCGAGCUCAACCACCUGCGGCUAUAACAAAACAGCAACAAAAUAUGUCUUCCGUGGCCAAGCCACUACCACUACCACCACCACCACCACUACAACCACAAACACAAUCACUUAAAUAUGCUACUACAAUAACCCCUGCUCAAGAUACACGAAAGCCGGUAGAAGUUGUUAAAAACAUGUGCGAGGAACAGAGUUACCCGCAAAAAAUAACAGAUACCAACAAAACAAUCGUUGCGGCCAAAGCCACUUCUGCGACUGCAAAGAAUAUACCGAAACGAAAAACACCUGCCCCGCCUAUGUUUGUAACAAAAAACAAAAAUCACUUGCCACCCUUCAUAAAAAAGCGCAUCAACAAAAUGGGUCCUGUUCAUCGAACACAUGAUAAUGAAAUGAUGAUCAGUGGCAAUGCUGUGUCAGAGAGCGGCGUUGGCGCCAAUGCACAAAUCAAACACAAUCACCAUGCAGUGGCGGUGGUAAAGAUGUCGACAGCCGAAAUUGAGGCUGAUACCACAUUGUUGGCAUCUGCCUCAGUUUUACCAUAUUGCGUACAGAAACAUUGGCUAUAUAUAACCCGUGAGUCGCAGUUUGUUCGGGGUGUUGGUGUGGUUGCAUCCACAGUUGGUAAAAGUGUUGAUACGUUGAAAGAAAUUUUUAAGUCGGCUAACGAUCGCGAGCUGUAUAUUACACAGAGGAAAACGCUUUUGCAUCGUCAGGCUUUGCAGCUUCUCUCCACACAUUCGUUGCAGAAACUGCCAAUGCAGGCAGCAAAACGCCGAUUGAUGUGCGUGGAUCGUUUGUUGCGAAAAUACCAACGUCACGGCGAGGAAGAUCUAACCGCUGAAACGAUAUGUAAUUUCGUGGGUUGCACUAAAUACGUUCUUGAAAUGGCGGAUCAAUGCGAAGAUCACAUUGUAAACAAUAUGUCACAGCACAUCUUCUUGCCGUGUACGGCGAAGUUCGCCGAUAAUACCCAAUGCCGUAUCCCGGUAUUCGAUAUUAUACACGAUCUGCCGUUGUGUACAGAGCAUGCGCGUAAGCGUGAUGCCUAUAAUCGCGCUAUGCAUUAUCAACAGCGUUCAGGAAAUCAAAAAUAUGCAGCGGCCACGCUCACCACACCAAUGACACAACCACCAUCAAUGGAUUGUGGUGCAGGGGACUUGUUACAUCAACUACAGCAAAUUAAGUACCAACAUAAACAACAACAGCAACAGCAACAGCAAUUAAACACUCAAAGUAGUCCACAUAAUGCUGCCGCUACUAUGGGCAAGAGCAAAAAGUCGGCUAAUGUGAAAUCGACAACUGCCCGCAAACGCAAAGCAUCUAAUACACCGGCGGCUAAUACGGUUGGUCGCACGCAAAAGCGAGCACGCAAAGUGGGUAUUAACGGUACGCCGUCCGUGUCUGUUGUAGCUGCUACAAUAGCGCCUUUACAAUUGACUUCAGCAGUGCUGCAACGUAAGAGCAGUACUACUUCACUAGAAUCAAUCGCAAGUAAUUCGCAAUCCUCCAGCUCGCAGCCGCAUUAUAUCUCUUCGAAUAUGAAUGUUCAAGGUCAAUGUAAGAUUGCAAUGCCGGCAUUGGCUCCGCUCAGUGGACAUAAUGCGCCAGUUGUGAGUAAUACUUUAACAUCGGUACCUGCGCCUAAACGUAUGCUUCAUUUCAACACCAAUAGUGUUUAUAAUAGCGGUGCAACAAUAGGCACAAACACCGCUGAUAAAGUGAUGGCUCAAGAUUUCAAACCACCGGAAAUCAAUCAAUUGGUGGCACAAUUUUCUGUAGCAGUGAAUAACAGUAAUAGCAACAGCAAUAACACAAAUAACAAUGAAAAUAGCAAUAGCUUCAACACAUACAAUAAUAGUAACAGUAUAAAUAACUGUUACAAUUACAUAACCACAAAUAGUGAUUCCAACUUCACUUCGGCGCUAGGCUCGUCAUCAUCUUUACCUUCGUCAUCGGAGGAAUUAUUCCGACAGGAUUUGUUGAGCGUUUGUGAGAACAGUUCAGCAUAUGCUAGCUCUGAGGAUACCGGCUUGGGUGGUUUGAGUGAGACUGAACUGAUGGUUGGACCCAAUGAUGCAGAUGAUAUACCGUUGGGCGAUACACGUUUGCUGGAGGAGCACGACUUGGCGAAUGUGCUUAGUGGGCUGCCAGAGGAUGCAUUCAAUGAGUUAUUUACCGCAGUGCAUCAAGAAGAACGUGAGGAAGUCGAGAGAGCUCUCGAAUUGGCUGAUAAACAUCUAAAGAGUCUUCAGCAGACAAUUGGUUCGGAUAUCGAUUUCUUAGCUGAUUUUCCUGACGAUGAUGAGAUUCUAGCUGAUACCGAUGCAAUGUGCGGAAACAUGGAUAUUGUGUCGUCAGUGAUGCAUUCGCCCGACGCCACAUCCGGUAUUGAUACUUCAACACUAUUUAUCGAUAGUGGCAGCAACAGUGUAGGUGGCGGUGGUGGUGGCGGCAGCAUUAAUUCCAACAAUAUGGCCGACAUACGAGGUCUUGUACAAACGUAAAUAUUAUAUUCAAACAAUUGCGUUUGGUAUCCUUGAGAGUUCUGUAGAUGGCUAUAUCAAUAUUUUGCGCUGUAUAUAUUUUUUACGACUGUACCACAUCACGGUAGUACCCAUUACUACUUAGCAUUUGCUCAUUUA